UGGGGAAUAUUGGACAAUGGGCGAAAGCCUGAUCCAGCCAUGCCGCGUGUGUGAAGAAGGUCUUCGGAUUGUAAAGCACUUUAAGUUGGGAGGAAGGGCAGUAACCUAAUACGUUGCUGUCUUGACGUUACCGACAGAAUAAGCACCGGCUAACUACGUGCCAGCAGCCGCGGUAAUACGUAGGGACCAAGCGUUGUUCGGAUUUACUGGGCGUAAAGGGCGCGUAGGCGGCAAUUCAAGUCAUCUGUGAAAUCUCCGGGCUUAACUCGGAACGGUCAGAUGAUACUGCUUUGCUAGAGUGCAGAAGGGGCAAUCGGAAUUCUUGGUGUAGCGGUGAAAUGCGUAGAUAUCAAGAGGAACACCUGAGGUGAAGACGGGUUGCUGGGCUGACACUGACGCUGAGGCGCGAAAGCCAGGGGAGCAAACGGGAUUAGAUACCCCUGUAGUCCCUGAGCGGGCUGGCAAGGCGCAU
rnacentral:rRNA from 1 species